rnacentral:rRNA from 1 species
AUACGGAGGGUGCAAGCGUUAAUCGGAAUUACUGGGCGUAAAGCGUACGUAGGCGGUUAUUUAAGUCAGAUGUGAAAGCCCCGGGCUUAACUUGGGAACAGCAUUUGAAACUGGGUAACUAGAGUUUAGUAGAGGGGAGUGGAAUUUCAGGUGUAGCGGUGAAAUGCGUAGAGAUCUGAAGGAACACCAGUGGCGAAGGCGACUCCCUGGACUAAACCUGACGCUGAGGUACGAAAGCGUGGGUAGCAAACAGGAUUAGAUACCCCAGUAGUCC